rnacentral:rRNA from 1 species
UACGAAGGGGGCUAGCGUUGUUCGGAAUUACUGGGCGUAAAGCGCACGUAGGCGGAUUUUUAAGUCAGGGGUGAAAUCCCGGGGCUCAACCCCGGAAUAGCCUUUGAUACUGGAGAUCUGGAGUCCGAGAGUGGUGAGUGGAAUUCCGAGUGUAGAGGUGAAAUUCGUAGAUAUUCGGAGGAACACCAGUGGCGAAGGCGGCUCACUGGCUCGGUACUGACGCUGAGGCUCGAAAGCGUGGGGAGCAAACAGG